AAACAGGAAGGCACUAGAAGAGAGAGAAUAACAGUGCAUCAGGGAUUGUGAAGAGUCUGAAUGUUUGGGAAACUAAGAAGCCAACUUUUGUGCUGCCUGAAGGUUGUAGAAGGGACCUGGAGCGAAGCGGGGAAGGCUGUCGUUGGUCCACAUUAGGGAAAUAUAAGUGAACCUUUCCAGGUCAAUUCAGCAGCAGUACUUACUGAAAAUGAAAGCAAAGUGGAUAAUCUAGAAGUCUACCCAGUGAACGAUAGUCUUGAAUGCGCUCGUCGAAACCCAUUUGAACAUGGACCAGUAUGCCACCUAUGUCACACACAUAGACUAGAUCGUGAUGAUCCAGAUCUACAUCUUAAAGCAUGUCUUGCAAAACACGAGGAACAAAGUCUAACUAUUGAAUGCAAUAUUUGCAUUGAAAAUAUCAAAGCUACCAAUAAGCCAUUCGGAAUCCAGGAGAAUUGCAAUCAUAGCUUUUGCUAUAGUUGUAUAAAGCGUUGGCAAGAAAGAGAUGAAAUGGUAAAUAAUAGGGCCUGUCCGGUCUGUCGAACUCCGUCAGGUUACAUAUUGAACUUCCCGCUGUGGAUCACAUGUCCACGAUCAAAAAAAAAUUUGUUUGAUUGUAAGAAAAGAUGUUUCUUGAGACAAUUAAUCCAAGGUUUUUCAAAAGACUAAUUUAGAUACAUGCUACAUGCUAGUCGCUCCAGCAUAAAAAUGGGAACAAGGAAGAAGAAGAAGAGCAAGAUCGUGACCUCCGUGUCGAAGGCGCCGGCAAGAUGCAUGCUGCUUUGUUAUUGUUUUUUACCUGCAAAUUGUACACAUUCGGUUCUAUAUAACACAAAAUAAACAUUAAAGUAUAGAGGUACUUUAGUUUGGCCUCUUCGUAUUUAGAAUUCUCUUUUGUUGUUUUUAUUGUUUUGAAUGCACCUUAGGAUUUAAAAAAAAAAUAUUAUUGCAUAUAUAUUGCUUAAAAUAUAUGUAUGAAGCUGAUUUGACUUCUACAGUCUAGAGGACAAAAUAGUUCAACCAAUGUUUAAUUAUAUUACACAUUACAAACAAAAUGUGUUAUCAGCUUUAAAUAACAUCGGUUUAUUUCUUAAAAGUAGUCAUUGCCUGUAGAAGUCAAAUAAUAAAAUAAUAGAAUCAUAAUAAAGUUUAAGUAGGUAUAUUUUGGUGAUUCUUAAUGAUUUAAUGGGUCAUCCAUCUUUGUUAUUGUUUUAAAUGUAAUCUUAUAUCUUGGGUUUUCUCUCAGAUUUUGUUUUUUUUUUUUGUUUUGUUUUCGCUAAAUAAUAUGCUAAAUCUAGAUCUAUCAUCUUGACUUUUUUUUUUAGACCUAAAGCCAGGGCCGGAUUUAAGGGAGGGCUUCAAAAUAAAAUAGAAAAAAUAUAUCCGAAUUUCGACGGGCCAGAAACGUUUACAUUUUUCUAACAUUUUUUUUGCAUUUUUACGGCAGGGAAAAAUGUUGCAAUUAAGAAGUGGUAGGCCUACUUGUAGCAUACUUGGAAUAAGUAAAUAAAGCCUUGGAUUUACAAUAAGGGUUUUACCCUCCGUUGACAGAAAUAUAAAUACAUUUUAAAACUAAAUGAUUGUUUAUAAAUGUUUUUUUUUAAGGAAUUGAGAUUAAAUUUACAAUUACUUUCUUUCUUCUAACAUAUAGCAUGCUUUUAUAUCUAAGUAUUUUCAUUCAAAAGUGGAUCUUUAUUCAAGCUUUCGAAAAAUUGUAGGGGCCUCCACAAAAAAUCUUGCCCCGGGGUCUCCACAUACUUUAAUCCGGCCCUGCCUAAAGCAUAUAUAGACUUUAGAUCUAACUAGUAACACAUUCAUAUGUUGAUAGAUAUGGUGGGAAGCGUCGUAGAGAGGCUAAGUACGCUUGAACUUGGCUUGUCUACCUAUGAAGGGGGCUGCAGGUUAGACACUCGACUCGAUCACAGUUGUGUUUACUGAGCGCCCACAGGCAGCACGGAAAACAAAAACCGUCUCCCAGAUUGGGCCCUAGCGUUCUGUGCAUGUGUAAGCGUGCAUG